ACGAGUUCUCUUCAGCUACAUCACUAAUGACACUGACAAGUAACAGCCUUUGCAUGGCAAACGAUACACAAUCAAAUAUAACGUGUUUUAUGUCCGCAUUUUCUUUAAAACAAUAUGUACACUUAUCAUCAGUAAUGAUAUUCUUCCUUUUAAGAUGUGCCGGGACCAAACAAUGACCAAAUCGCAGACGGUUUAUGCAUGUCAUGAAUUUCCUGGUGGUGUAUUUAAAGGUAUAAUACCACGGUGUUGUUGGUAAGUCGUUUUGUAUGCUUGCAUACCAUCUUCCUAUAUCCAGUAAUUCUGUGUUAUGUCUCCAAUAUUCUUUCCAUAUUCCUUUAGUAAUACUUUUGAAGUAAUGGUAAUAGUCAGUAAAUGGCACUUUAAAAGAUUCUGUGAGGUCCAGGUCGUGGUCCCGACGAGUCGCCUGAUCCACAACCUCGUUUCCUGUUAUGCCACUGUGGGAGGGCACCCAUAAAAAUUCUACAUUUUUCUGUAACUUACAUAGCCUAUCCUUAAUCUGACAUAUUAUAUAAUUUUGCUUAUAUUCUAACGAACUAUUACAAUCAGAAUCAGAAUCAGAAAUCGUUUAUUGCCUGUUAGUGUUUACAUCUUUCAGUUCCCGCAGGAUUGUGUCAGCUAACUUAUGUCUAAAAAGAUCUGUGUAAGCUGAAGGUGUCAUGUCACAAGUGAUGAGUUGAAGAUGUUAAUAUUUUGUGCGUCAUAUGUUACAAUUUUAUAUUUUAUUUUAUUCUAAGAGGACGAGGAGCCGCCGCCCCGGGAGGCCAACGUCUCAUGUCUUUAUUAAUAGUAUACUCUAUUUCACCGAUUCUUUUGUUUUUUAGCAGUGGGUUAAAUUCUCCGUGCGCCAGGUAAGCGUCUCCAGGUGUGUCCAGGUCUUCUAUUCCCAGCGAUGCGAUUUUGGCCAGCAUUUUGUAAUUCAGGUCGGCGGCUCGGAGGUGCCAUGCUUCUAGAUCUGUCAUUUCCCAGAGCGUCUCUGUGGGUAGACGUCUAGGGAAUUGACCUGCACUCUUCAGCGCCAUUCUAUAUUGCCUCUCGAUUUUUUGGAGGUUCGAGUUACUGUAUCUGGAUAAUAACUGUACCACUCCAUAGUCCAUGAUGGGAAGGAUGCAGGCUUGAAUUACGGCUAGUUUGACCUCAAGAUCUGUCUUGGCGUGGAAGCCGAUGAUGGAUCCCAGUACUACAAUUGCUAUUGAUUUUGAUACAUUUUGUCACUUUCAUUUGAGGGUCAUAAUAUGCAGCUUUAACAUGGUCAUUUUUGGAGCCAUCAGUAUACAUAAUAUAGUAGUCAUGUUUAUCAUUUAUAAAUUCAAGAAAGUCAAAUUUGUUUUUAAUCAAGUCUAAGUGAGAUUUAACAUUAAAAUAACUUAGUAUAGUAUUAUAUGAGUACUUAUAAAUUGGCCACUGGUUAUUUAUGUACAUAUUUUUUGUCAAAUUUUUGGUGUUCAUCAUAAUUAUGGAUAUUUCAGGCAAAGAACCUGUAAUGAGAGUAUUAGCCGAGAUGUUAGCUGACUGAGCAAUUUCUACUGGGUAUAAGACUUUAUCCAAGACAACAAGAUUCUCACACGACAACUCCUUUAAACAAAAUCUCUCAGCCAGCUGUAAACGACGCAAGGACAAUGGAGGUCGGACUUCAUAUAUGGAUGGCUUCACAUUUACAUCAACCAGAGUCGGAUAGUGGUAACUACCCAUUGGGUCAUCAUGAACUCGCCAUUCACAAAGGGGAGCUAUUGUGGGACUGACAAGAGCUAUAUCAAUUGCAGAUGGAUUCCUAUUUGGAUAUUGCACUGUUGUUGGACUGCCAUCAUUUAAAAUACACAAAUCAAAUUCAUCAAUAAUAUUGUAUAAACUAUUGCCUCUACUGUUAUUUGAUUGACAGCCAAAUAAUAUGUGAUGAGCGUUAAAAUCACCCAUGAUUAGACAUGGCUUGGGGGUUUCAAGCAACAGCUUUUUCAUUUUACGAACAUCAAACCUGCUACCAUUGGGUGGACAAUAAACACAAAGAAUGUAUAAUUUACCAACUGAUGUUUCAAUAGCUACACAGAUAUUCUGAAUCGAUUCAUAAAAAGUUGUGUUUAUGAUAUUAUAUUGUAAGUUUUGUUUAAUAAGUAUACCUACUCCAUUUUUGGCAUUUUUUGAAAUUUUAUGUAUAAAGUUGUACGGGGCAAAGUUAGGAAUUGUACUUGUACUUUUGAGCCAUGUUUCAUUUAAUAAACAAAUGUCUAUCUGUUGCUCUGCAAGAAAUGUAUUUAAUAGGGCUUUCUUAUGUAACAAACUUUGAAUGUUAAACUGUGCUAGAUGCAAAAAAGUGUCCAUGAUUUAGUUUAAUAAAUUUGUUUUGAGUAU